rnacentral:rRNA from 1 species
AGUGAACGCUGGCGGUAGGCCUAACACAUGCAAGUCGAACGGCAGCACAGUAAGAGCUUGCUCUUACGGGUGGCGAGUGGCGGACGGGUGAGGAAUACAUCGGAAUCUACUUUUUCGUGGGGGAUAACGUAGGGAAACUUACGCUAAUACCGCAUACGACCUACGGGUGAAAGCAGGGGAUCUUCGGACCUUGCGCGAUUGAAUGAGCCGAUGUCGGAUUAGCUAGUUGGCGGGGUAAAGGCCCACCAAGGCGACGAUCCGUAGCUGGUCUGAGAGGAUGAUCAGCCACACUGGAACUGAGACACGAUCCAGACUCCUACGGGAGGCAGCAGUGGGGAAUAUUGGACAAUGGGCGAAAGCCUGAUCCAGCCAUACCGCGUGGGUGAAGAAGGCCUUCGGGUUGUAAAGCCCUUUUGUUGGGAAAGAAAAGCAGCAGGUUAAUACCCCGCUGUUCUGACGGUACCCAAAGAAUAAGCACCGGCUAACUUCGUG